CUGGGCCGGGGAUCAAACCCAUACCUCUGGAGUGACCCAAGCCACCGCAGCUGGAUCCUUAACUCACUGCACCACAGUGGGAACUCCUCUCUUGCUUUUCCUGAAAGUUACACCGAGGUAGGAUCUCUCAACUCUAGAGGGGAGGGGAGGCUCGUUUUUCAGCUUUGUAAAAAUGCCACUGUGCUCUCUUUUAUCUUAUUUGUUUCUUCCUCUCAAUCUUAUGUCUCUAACAUUCAUCCAGGUUGUUGCCUGUACUUACUGCCUAGGGUUCUAUUCUAUGCAAUUGUUCUUCUAUUGAAGGAAAACGGGAUGAUUUUCAAUGACCUGGUUUGGGAGGAGUUGUUUGGCGUUGAGAAAGAGAAUGUUAUGACAUUAUUAUCUAUGUGUCCUGAUGCAUAUGAAGAAGAGUUUUUCCCAGGGUACACACGAAGAGCGGAACUGAAGAGGGGUGAAGAGCCUGGAGAUGGAGUCCAAUGUGAGCCUUUUGAUUAUUAAGAGAGUCUCUUUUGCCAGCUCCAAAGACGCUGCCUUGUUGCCUUGGCAGAAUUUAUUUUCCAAACUCCAUUCAGGGACUUUCUACUUCAGGACUUCCUGAACAAGAGCUGUUCAGCCAAAGUUCAUCUCUCACGCUCACACAGAGGGGGUGGUUUUAGAAAGAGAAAGCCCUUUGGUUUGAAGCGCGGCUCUUCCAUGGACUAACAAUGACGUUGGACAAAUCUUGUUUACCUCACAGGACAGCGCUGAAAAAUACCCAGGAAACGUCAUUACAGUUGAGAUGUUCAGGGUUAGGGCAUCCAAGGAAGUAGAAUGAGAAGCACGUUCUAGACUCCUUAGGACAUGACGAAAGGGCCAGAACACAAGGGCAUCCAAAGGACGCUCUAAGCCUCACCAAGGUGUCCUCUGUGCCUCUGACAGUGCCCUGGUGACCACCCUUCCACAUCUCAGAUGGUCCUGGACUCAAAUACCUGGUCAGCGGGAUCGAUGGAAAGGGAGGACGAGAAACAACUCACUGAGGGGAUCUUAUGAUCUCCCCCAAGAGAAGGUAAGUUUCUCUUGCUCUGAAUUCUUGCUUUUUUUUUUUUAAGAGAUGAAAGUUUUUCUCUAAUCUCCUCCUCAAUCUUGAUUUAUUUUUCCCGGUGGAUGCAUGCACCAGACACACCCACCUUUUUGGCCUCAAAGAGACUGUCCCUCUCUGGACCAGACAAUUCUUGAGGUAGCAAGGGGCCCAGCAUGCCUCUGAUUUGCAAACAAAGCCAACCAGAACCUUCCUCCCUCCAUCAGGUCCACACACCCCAGAGGCGAUUGUUCUUCUGGCUUAAUGGUCCAGGGCCAGGUAUGAGGCAGCUAGGGGCCAUCCCCAUAGCCCAAAGCCCACCAAAAUUAUUCAAAGUACAGUCCCAGGCUGUUCACUCUUGCCUUCAGAAACCCCAGUAAAGGCUGUGGUCUCAGAGUUCCCCCUGCUCCUGUCCUCUGCCUCCUGACCACUCUGGUGUCUUUCCUACAUGGUCUCAUGUGCCAUGCCUUCUGUCUCUGGCACCUGUGGGGUAAUAACGUUUGUUUUUUUGAGCCUCUCUGUGUCUCCUCUUAUAGCUGCACCUGACUGACCAGCUCAGAAAAGAAUAGAAAACCGUUGUUGAGAAUUUAUCAUGACUCCCGUCCUUAUGUUACCAAUGAGCAAACUGGGGUGGGUGUGUGCUGCAGGAGUCUCUUGAAUCUUAAACCUCCUUUGCUUUAAUAAUGGAACAAACUACUUACGCCUGUGUUAUGAUGCCACUCACCUCCACCCAGAAAGAAAUGUGAGCAGCUCCCAAAGGCAAGAGGAGACAGACUGACAUGUUCUGGGUGGUUCUUCGUUUCAGGACACUCUAAGCUUCCUGUGAGGCUCCCCAGGAAGGGAGGGCCUUGGCUAGUUUAUGGCUUGGGUCCCCACAUUUAGUGUCUCCCUCUGACCCAAAGCCUCAGCACCUUUACCUGUCAAAGGGACAUUACAGCAGGUAACUAUUAAAAAACACAACAAUCAUUACAACUAAUUACAGCUUUUACAACUACUUUGAAGAUCUGAGAUGAAAGACACUUCAUGAAGGCAGAUAUGGUGACAGGUGAGCCAUACAAUUAAUUAAACAAUCUUGUGCAUAAUCACAGGCAGAGUGAUCUUCAAGAGCCAUGAGGCUGGGUUGAGGCAGCUCCCAGGCCCUUCCCAUGGGCUGAUGGUCAAGAGUAUCUUUCAUCUCUCUUCAUUAAACUCCUCACACCUAAGGCUCCCUGAGCUUGCCCCUCCUCUGCAAAAUAAGGGCAGCACCAGUACGCAGCUCAGGGGCCUUUCGUCCACACAAAAGCAUUGAGUUAAUUAGCAGGUCUAAUAGAAAGUGUUUUCAAGGCCUCACUUUGAAUACUGGCUCUUAUUAGCUCUUAGUUCUGAGCAAAUCUUAAUCUCUCCUAGUCUUAUUUUCCUCAUCUCUAAAAUGGGGUAAUUAUCUUACCUAACCUUGUUGGAGGUACUGCUGAUUAAACAAGAAAUUAGCACAAUGCCCGACACGUGGUCAGUGUUCACUACAUGAAAGUCAUUGUCACUGACAUAUUGCAGGUAACUGGCCCUUUCUUCGAACAUGGUUAAGCAACUUGUCCACGGUUGUCUGCAGCCUUUCCUCUAGGCUGGAGACAGUCACAAUGUAUAUCUCUGUAAAUAAAAUAAGCCUCUUUUUGUGCAGAUGAAACUGGGUGGGUGGAUAUUCACCAGACUUGGAAGGUGUCUUUAGAUCUGGCUUAAAAUAAAGGCUAAGUAGUAGAUAGGAUUCCAUAGGGGCUGUGGCUAUAUCGAUAGGCAAGCAUCUUCCAGAGCAGCUAAAACUGAGAUAACAGUGUCUGGUCCACAUGGCUCACUGAUUAGGAAAGUAGUUCAUGAUCUAUGAUGCCAUGUAAGAGGAGGGGCAGGGGGAGAGAAAGAGAGAGAGAGGGAAGAUAAAGAUAAAGACAGCUGUCUUUGGGGCAGGUAUGGUCUAAGAUGGUGCGCUUUUUUACUGGGGCAACUCCAUAUGGUUAGAGAAGCAGCUGUAGGAGUUAUUUAUUUCAUAAUGAUGAAUGAUGAUGCUUAGCAGCUCAUAUUCUAAGUAGCCAGAUUCCUCGAUUUGGUUCCUGGGUUACAUAUGCUAAGAGACCAUGGAGAAGAGGAUCCAGUGGCCUUGACCCUGUGCUAAUCCCAUGCUCCCCUGCAGCAUGUGGAAGAAAACCAGGAUGUGUAGGGGAACAGCAAGAAGAAGGUCAAUGAGUAACACUGCUACUCUUAUGAGGAGCACAGCAGGGACCCCAGCACUCCCAGGUGAUGGUGCAUCCAGCCCACGAAGCCUUUUUGCUUUCACAUGUCUCUUGGCUCAUGGGAGGAAGUGUGAAAGCUGCUUUAUUCUCCCCACUUGACAGACAUGGCAACUGAGGUUCAAGGAGGCUGAGGGCCAUCCUCGAGUCACUCAAGGUGGCCUGCCCUGGGCCAACUGGUCCCACAGGAUGUGUCAUGUCAAGGGUCAACAAAUGGACCUGAUGGGACACAGAAACAGUACAGUGACUUGGGAGUAGGGUCUAGGUGCGUGAGGGAGGCAGGGAGGGAGUGUGGUCUGAAGCCCACUGUUCUUAGGCAAGAGGAAGGUGACGAAAUGACCUUUUGCCUUCCUUGAUCUUAGAAGCAGCCCCAGCUCUCAGAUCCCAGUGGAUCUGCCUUCUUGGUGGUCACUAACCAUGCUUCAAGGCAGCAGAGAGUGCUCCUGAGUUGGCACCUUGGGGUUGGGUCUCCAAGGCCAGGGCCCAGAACCUUGGCUCCAGUGAGCACCUUGCAGGUCUUGGAGGAAAUGGCAGCAUCGACGAGGCAGGGGACCUCGGAUCUUACCUGCUGUGAUGGGUGGCCAGGCCCAAGGCCCUGAACAAGAAGCAGACAACAGGGUCACAGAAAGCAGCCCUCACUGCUGUGCUGCUUUGUAUCAGCGCUAAGGGUCUCUGGGGGUCAUCCAUUUCUACGCGUAUUUUUUUUUUUUUUCCAGAGCCAUCAAAUCAAAUUGAUUUUUGGUCAUUUUAACCUGGAGUUCCCAUCAUGGCUCAAGGGAAAUGAAUCUGACUAGCAUCCAUGAGGAUGCAGGCUCAAUCCCUGGCCUUGUUCAGUGAGUUAAGGAUCCAGCCAGUGGCUAUAGCUCCGAUUUGACCCCUAGCCUGGGAAUCUCCAUAUGCCAUGGGUGUGGCCCUAAAAAAAAAAAAACAAAACAAACAAAAAACAUGGGUAGGAUUAGCAAACCUGUCCCCCCAGGUGAAAGGCUAGUUUAUUAAAGGAGCCAUUUAUCCAACUCUUCUGAGAUAGGAAGAGAAUUUUUGAGUGACUUUUGGGAAACAAACAACCCGUCCCAAAGGGAGUUUGUGACAAGAAUCCUAAUCACUGUUUAUGAAGCACCUACUACACAUCUUUACUUUAGAUCCUUUUCUACUCCUCCCACAAGCCUCUGAGGGACACAAUAGCUCAAAUGAUGGGUACCUACUUUUCAUGCCUUCUCUCAUUAAAUCCUAAAUUCCCAAUGCUGUAUGUAUUAUUACCCUAAUUAUUAAACGGAAGAUCAAACCAUCACAUGUAACGUGCACAGACUCACACAGGCAAUGACAGAGCUGGGAUUCUGACUCAGGGCUGGGUGUCAUCACCAAGCCACUCUUUCGACUGGAAUCUCCUGGACUAGGUUGUCCUACCUUAUCCCCUAGCAUAUUUGCCUCCAGAUUCUGACUCACCUGGAAGAGCAUGCAUAUGGGGUGCUCAUUUAUGAAACAAGGUCAUGGUAAAGGGAUAAAGACAAAGGCGAGCAGGACGAACAGCCCCCAGCCAAGGAGAAGGCUUGUGUCAGUCAUGGUCAGGUCCAGCCCUGAAACCUGCAGCCGAGACACUGGGCUGGAUGGAUCUCAGGAAGGCUCAGCUUCUGCACGGGGGCAGAGGGACUCUGCAAAGCUCGAAACAGAAAUACACAUCCUGCUCCUCAGCCGGUCAUCAGCAUUAAAUGAAAUGCUGCAGGUAAAAGUCUACACAGGCCCUGGGAUAGAGGCACUUGGCCCUUAGGGAAUGCCUGGUGUAGCGUGGAGAUGACCAAGAGACUGGUUUUCACUCUUUGUCCCUUUCUGGGCAAGGAUAAGACCACCCAGCUCUUUGGCAGCAGGGUCUAACUCCAGCCCUCCCAAGCCAGAGACCCUCCUGGGACACAUGUGAUAGGGAAGGGAAUUUGAAAGAGCAGUUCUUGUCCCAUUUCUGCUCCUGAAGUCAGGUCUGAGCUGCCUGUCUGAGGAGGCCAGUUUUAGCCCAUAAAAAUACAAAAAGACCAGUUAAAUUUAAAUUUCAAGUAAACAACAUGGACUUUUCUGAUUUAAGUGUGACCCAGUGCCUAUCCUUGCGUCUGUGUUGUAGGCACACGUUCCUCUGGUUGGCUGUUCUUGGCAGAGGGGAAGCCCUGCAAGAGGCUCAGACCCUGGAUGUGCCUGGCACCAUCCUCUCUGGAGACCUGAACCCAGCCAAGGAGACACAAGUGGCUCCAGGAGGACCCAGCAUCAGUCCUCUUCCCUGAGUAGGGACAGAUGGGCGAACUGGAUGCUGCAGAUGUUGGCGCAGAUGAGAAAGACCAGGUGUCUCCUGGGGAAGGGCCUAAUGUGAUGUCAAGUGCUGCCAUCCCAGGCCUUAAUGGAAGGAGCUGCUCCUAAGUGGGUCUUUCCCACAAAGUGUCCUGUGAGGCCCCAUCAGAGCGAGGUCCCUGGCUUGCAAUGGGAUGACAAUGACUCCCAAACCCCUGCUUGCCUGGGAGGCAUUUCCUUUUCUCUCUCCCUCCCCUCCUCUUCUCCCUCAGCUUCCUCUUCCCUCCCUUCUGGAACCUAAGGCAGCGAGUGGCUCUCAAUCAGGCCAAGUGUGCAUCCAGUUCCUGUGGCCACCACGGAAGGCUGAGUGCUGCACAGGGAGCCCCUUGGUGGCUGUGUUGUGCCUUCUGCCACCCUGGCUGUGAGGGCCUGGCCCAGGCCCACUCUCCCAGGACAUUCCUCCCGGCCCUGUGCAGGCACAGCUGUCAGGAUGGGCAGGCCCUCACCUGAGGGCCUCGCCUGGAUCCCGGCACACCUUGCCCCCAUUGCCCAAGGACUGGCAGCGGAUCAAAGAGCUCUGGUUAGAACAACAUUUGGCAGCCAGAGGUGGCUCAGCAAAAUGAUCCUGGCCUGCGUGCAGGAGCUGAGCCUCCUGGAGUGCGGCGUGUAAAGCCUCCAUGGCUUCUGUCUGCGGCUGAGCCCUGGUAUCAGCCCCCCUCGCAACCUCAGUUCCCCCCAGUCAAGUCCUUCCAUCCUGGUGCUGCAGGAGCCUUCAUGAGCCUUGGCACCUAGAGUGUGCAGCCUGGCCUGUGUGCUGUGCCUCCUGCCCUGAAGCAAAAUAUCAGCAAGCAAGUCUACCGUUUCAACACAGCACUUGGGUGCUGGACUCAGAGCUACUGUCUCCCGUGUUAUCUCAUGUCUUCCUCACCACAGCACUCUAUGGUGAUCUUAUUAGGAUUCCCCCUUUAUGGGCAUUUUAAUAACUCUGUUGCAGGCAGCCACUGAAGCUCUCAAUAGCCCCUGACUCUCUGUCAUAGUUCAUUUAAUCCUCAAGCAUCACUAUGACAUCAGGACAAGCCUGACUCCCACUUUACAGCUGGGAAAAGCUAAGGCACAAAGAGAUGAGUAACUCCCAGACCUGGGAUUCAGACCUUGAUAAUCUGCUUCCACGAUGAAACCUUUAGAACCAUUCUGCAUAAGGUUGCCCCAUACAAGCAAAAGCAAGUUCAGAGAGGUUAAUUAACCUGCUUAAGGUAACACAGCCGAGAUGUAUAAGAGCACAUAGUGGGACCCAGAUCUGUCUACUCAGAGCCUCAUUCUUUUUAAUUAUGCCAUAGUGCUAGGUUUCAUAUAUGUACACAUAACUGACAGGUAUAUGUAUAUCUAUGUCUACAAACAUAUAUUCUAUAGCACUAGUAAACAAAGAAAACAAGGAAAUGAGCUAUGUAUCUUUCAUUUGUUUACGCAUUUAGUUUUGAGGUGCAGAAGAUUUCAACACACGCAUACAUACAUACCUAUGACAAUUUCAUUAGUAGGAAACGGAUUUAAAAUAAACCGGGGGAGUUCCCUUUGUGGUGCAGCGGUUAACGAAUCUGACUAGGAACCAUGAGGUUGCGGGUUCGAUCCCUGGCCUUGCUCAGCGGGUUAAGGAUCCGGCAUUGCCGUGAGCUAUGGUGUAGGUCGCAGACAAUGCUCGGAUGCUACGUUGCUGUGGCUGUGGCAUAGGCUGGUGGCUACAGCUCCGAUUCGACCCCUAGCCUGGGAACCUCCAUAUGCCGUGGGAAGCGGCCCUAGAAAAGGCAAAAAGACUAAAUAAAUAAAUAAAUUAAUUAAUUAAAUAAAAAUGAACUGGGGUUAGCAAUCCAUGAUUGACUUGGUAAUACAUGGAAUAUUUUGAGAGAUGGGAAAAGCAUAUGAGUCAUUGUCCCCAACAAGCUCAAUGAGGGAAGCUAGCCCACAUGAGUACAUUUUUAGUUCCAAUUUUAGAAACUCUUCAAGCAGAUAAGGUGACCAUUCUGAUAAAUGGAAGGAAGCUCAGAAAACAUAACCACCAAAGACCUGCAGCAACGAGGGCUGCUUACCUGGUCCUGGCCACCCCCAAAGGCUGUCCUUCACCUCUAGUCUAUCCUGCCUCUUUCAUGAAUCCACACUCCUGGGCGGGUCUCAGGGUAUGGGCACAGGGGGAUCUGGGAACAGGUGGUCAAAGCCACGAGGCUGAUCACUGACAGGUGCCUUUACCUCUCAGCUGGCCUAAGAGCCCUGCCAGCGUGGUGGGAAGCUUUUACCUGGUGCAUUCCUCAGCAGGGCUCAGAGCACUGAAUUUAACUGCAAAAUACCCUAAACCCCAGCAUUUUACCACUCUCCUCUGGAGCUUUUUGGCUUGAAAAUAAAUGUGCUGGCAUGUGUGGAAACAGCCCAGCAGUUCGUUCCAUGCUUGGAUUGUGCAGAGCAGCACAAGCACUGUUGUUAGCUUGGAGGCAGGUGCAGGCCAGCCACGGUCUCAGGAUCUGGAAACCUUCUUUUGUGCCCGAGGAGGGGCCACAGCAGAACCAGAGCCAGCCUGCGCCUUACAGGGUGGCUGCUUCUCAAGAACCUGCUGGUCCAUAAUUACUGAUGAGCUUGCAGAAAAAGAGCCAUAAAUGGGGGCUCAGUGGGCAGGGAUGGUGGGCCCCUUGGGCAGCUGCAGGGGAAGGAUGAGGGGAAGAUCUCCCUCCAGCUGCCUCCUUCACCUCCCCUGGACCCCACUCUCCACUGGAUGAACCCAGCUCCCCUUUUCCUGGUGGCUUGGCAGGUGUCUGCCAUUCACACGGUUAAGCUGCUCCAGACCUGCCCGUUUCAGCCCCAUCUUGCCACUCCUACCUGUAUGCGCCAGGGACAGCAAUUGUGCAAAAAGCCCCACACGUGAGCUGCCCAUCAGCAAGGCAGCCAGAGAGGCUCCGGGCCUGGGACGCUGGGGCAGGAAGGCUAACAGGUAGGGAGCCGCCAGAGCAAGGUGACAUGGGCAUGAAGCUUGGGUCCUGGACUGAUCAGAGGAUAGAAAGUACCAGGUGAGAGGAGGCUCCCAAAGGCAGCGAUGC
rnacentral:lncRNA from 1 species